rnacentral:rRNA from 1 species
AUUGAACGCUGGCGGCAUGCCUUACACAUGCAAGUCGAACGGCAGCACGGGAGCAAUCCUGGUGGCGAGUGGCGAACGGGUGAGUAAUAUAUCGGAACGUGCCCAGUCGUGGGGGAUAACGCAGCGAAAGCUGUGCUAAUACCGCAUACGAUCUACGGAUGAAAGCGGGGGAUCGCAAGACCUCGCGCGAUUGGAGCGGCCGAUAUCAGAUUAGCUAGUUGGUGAGGUAAAGGCUCACCAAGGCGACGAUCUGUAGCUGGUCUGAGAGGACGACCAGCCACACUGGCACUGAGACACGGUCCAGACUCCUACGGGAGGAAGCAGUGGGGAAUUUUGGACAAUGGGCGAAGGCCUGAUCCAGCAAUGCCGCGUGCAGGAUGAAGGCCUUCGGGUUGUAAACUGCUUUUGUACGGAACGAAACGGUGAGCUCUAAUACAGUUUGCUAAUGACGGUACCGUAAGAAUAAGCACCGGCUAACUACGUGCCAGCCGCCGCCGUAAUAC